rnacentral:rRNA from 1 species
CCUACGGGUGGCAGCAGUGAGGAAUAUUGGUCAAUGGACGAGAGUCUGAACCAGCCAAGUAGCGUGAAGGAUGACUGCCCUCUGGGUUGUAAACUUCUUUUAUAUGGGAAUAAAAUGUUCCACGUGUGGGAUUUUGUAUGUACCAUAUGAAUAAGGAUCGGCUAACUCCGUUCCAGCAGCCGCGGUAAUACGGAGGAUCCGAGCGGUGUCCGGAUUUAUUGGGUUUAAAGGGAGCGUAGGUGGGUUGUUAAGUCAGUUGUGAAAGUUUGCGGCUCAACCGUAAAAUUGCAGUUGAAACUGGCAGUCGGGAGUACAGGAGAGGUGGGCGGAAGUCGUGGUGUAGCGGUGAAAUGCUUAGAUAUCACGAAGAACUCCGAUGGCGAAGGCAGUUCACUGGACUGCAACUGACACUGAGGCUCGAAAGUGUGGGUAGCAAACAGGAUUAGAUACCCCGGUAGUC